ensembl:lncRNA
AUAAUGAACAGACGACAUAUUUAACAAUAAUAAUAACACAAUCAUUGGGAAAACAUCUGAAGCAGUUCCUGAGAAGAGAGAAAAGGAGAAAAGUUAUUAACAUGUUAAUGUUGUUAGUGUGUCUGUGUGUACAUCUAAUUGUUAGUGUGUCUGUGUGUACAUCUAAAUGUUAGUGUGUCUUUUAGAACCAAAUGAUAGUGUGUCUGUGUGUACAUCUAAUUGCUAUUGUGUCUUUGUGUACAUCUAAAUAUUAGUGUGUGUCUUUGUUUAGAACCAAAUGAUAGUGUGUCUGUGUGUAUAUCUAAUUGUUAUUGUGUCUUUGUGUACAUCUAACUAUUAGUGUGUGUCUUUGUUUAGAACCAAAUGUUAGUGUGUCUGUGUGUACAUCUAAUUGUUAGUGUGUCUGUGUGUACAUCUAAAUAUUAAUGUGUCUUUGUGUACAUCUAAAUAUUAGUGUGUGUCUUUGUUUAGAACCAAAUGUUAGUGUGUCUGUGUGUACAUCUAAUUGUACAUCUAAAUUUGCCAGCGUGUCUAAAUGUUAGUGUGUCUUUGAGUACAUCUGUGUGUGUGUGUGUGUGUGUGUGUGUGGGUGUGUGUGUGUGUCAUGAGUAGAUCUGGAUUUGCUCCUGAGGGGUUGACGCAGCGUCCUGAUGGCGUCCUGAUGGAAUCCUGAUGGCGUCCCGAUGACGUAGUGUCCUGAUGGCGUCCCGAUGACGUGGCGUCCUGAUGGCGUCCCGAUGACGUGGCGUCCUGAUGGCGUCCUGUUGGUCUGCAGACAAGGAGAAGAGACAUCUGGAUUUGCUCCUGAGGGGUUGACGCGGCGUCCCGAUGGCGUCCUGAUGGCGUCCCGAUGACGUGGUGUCCUGAUGGCGUCCCGAUGACGUGGCGUCCUGAUGGUGUCCCGAUGACGUAGCGUCCCGAUGACGUUGGUGUCCUGAUGGCGUGGCGUCCUGAUGGCGUCCCGUUGGUCUGCAGACAAGGAGAAGAGACGUGAGGAGGAUCAUCAGGAUGUGAGACAAGAUUCAUAGAUCCAAUUAUUUUACUUUGAUGCACAUUUUAAUUAUUUCAUGUUUGUAUGGAUGUGUAAAUCUACAUUACAUAUUUGUGGUUGUUAAACUGUAUUUCUGUAUUUGCUUUUUAUGUUUAGCUAGUCUCUGUGCAUAGCAAUAUGUUAGUGCGUCUCUGUGUAAGUACUUUUUACAUUACAUUACAUUUCAUUUAGCUGACGCUUUUAUCCAAAGCGACUUACAAUAAGUGCAUUCAACCAUAGGGUACAAACUCAGAAGUGCAAUUUCCUCAAAUAACUUUU